AGCCCUAAGCGGGUGGUAAACUCCAUCUAAGGCUAAAUAUGACCACGAGACCGAUAGCGAACAAGUACCGUGAGGGAAAGUUGAAAAGCACUUUGAAGAGAGAGUUCAAGAGUACGUGAAACCGUUUAGGGGUAAACCUGAGAAACCCGAAAGGUCGAAGGGAGAAAUUCAUUCGCGUUUCGCCGCGAGCGUCGAGCGGUCGAGCGACGGAAAGCGUUCGCGUUUUCCGCGCCCUCAGCUCGUUCGAACUCGUGACGAACGUGUGCACUUUUCUCCUGGUAGGACGUCGCGAUCCGUCGGGCGUCGGUCUACGGCUCGCGGUGGAGCCCGCCCGUUAUCUUACGGGCGGACCCGCGUGUCCCGGCCGACACGCUCGACGGUAUACGAAAGGUUAAAGGCCGCUCUCGGAGCGUUCGGCUCGUCGCAAGCGCGCCAGUUGCGUCGGCGAUCGGACCUCGUGCCGAUUCUGACCUC
rnacentral:rRNA from 2 species